GAUGAACGCUGGCGGCGUGCCUAAUACAUGCAAGUCGAGCGAACGGACGAGAAGCUUGCUUCUCUGAUGUUAGCGGCGGACGGGUGAGUAACACGUGGAUAACCUACCUAUAAGACUGGGAUAACUUCGGGAAACCGGAGCUAAUACCGGAUAAUAUUUUGAACCGCAUGGUUCAAAAGUGAAAGACGGUCUUGCUGUCACUUAUAGAUGAAUCCGCGCUGCAUUAGCUAGUUGGUAAGGUAACGGCUUACCAAGGCAACGAUGCAUAGCCGACCUGAGAGGGGGAUCGGCCACACUGGAACUGAGACACGGUCAAGACUCCUACGGGAGGCAGCAGUAGGGAAUCUUCCGCAAUGGGCGAAAGCCUGACGGAGCAACGCCGCGUGAGUGAUGAAGGUCUUCGGAUCUUAAAACUCUGUUAAUAGGGAAGAACAUAUGUGUAAGUAACUGUGCACAUCUUGACGGUACCUAAUCAGAAAGCCACGGCUAACUACGUG
rnacentral:rRNA from 1 species